GGAAUUACUGGGCGUAAAGCGCACGCAGGCGGUUUGUUAAGUCAGAUGUGAAAUCCCCGCGCUUAACCUGGGAACUGCAUUUGAAACUGGCAAGCUAGAGUCUUGUAGAGGGGGGUGGAAUUCCAGGUGUAGCGGUGAAAUGCGUAGAGAUCUGGAGGAACACCGGUGGCGAAGGCGGCCCCCUGGACCAAUACUGACGCUCAUGUGCGAAAGCAUGGGGAGCAAACAGGAUUAA
rnacentral:rRNA from 1 species